rnacentral:rRNA from 1 species
GAUGAACGCUGGCGGCGUGCCUAAUACAUGCAAGUCGAGCGAACAGACGAGGGGCUUGCUCCUCUGACGUUAGCGGCGGACGGGUGAGUAACACGUGGAUAACCUACCUAUAAGACUGGGAUAACUUCGGGAAACCGGAGCUAAUACCGGAUAAUAUAUUGAACCGCAUGGUUCAAUAGUGAAAGACGGUUUUGCUGUCACUUAUAGAUGGAUCCGCGCCGCAUUAGCUAGUUGGUAAGGUAACGGCUUACCAAGGCAACGAUGCGUAGCCGACCUGAGAGGGUGAUCGGCCACACUGGAACUGAGACACGGUCCAGACUCCUACGGGAGGCAGCAGUAGGGAAUCUUCCGCAAUGGGCGAAGGCCUGACGGAGCAACGCCGCGUGAGUGAUGAAGGUCUUCGGAUCGUAAAACUCUGUUAUUAGGGAAGAACAAAUGUGUAAGUAACUAUGCACGUCUUGACGGUACCUAAUCAGAAAGCCACGGCUAACUACGUG